rnacentral:rRNA from 1 species
ACUCCUACGGGAGGCAGCAGUGGGGAAUAUUGCACAAUGGGGGAAACCCUGAUGCAGCCAUGCCGCGUGUGUGAAGAAGGCCUUCGGGUUGUAAAGCACUUUCAGCGAGGAGGAAAGGGUGUAAGUUAAUACCUUACAUCUGUGACGUUACUCGCAGAAGAAGCACCGGCUAACUCCGUGCCAGCAGCCGCGGUAAUACGGAGGGUGCGAGCGUUAAUCGGAAUUACUGGGCGUAAAGCGUGCGCAGGCGGUUUGUUAAGCGAGAUGUGAAAGCCCCGGGCUCAACCUGGGAACCGCAUUUCGAACUGGCAAACUAGAGUCUUGUAGAGGGGGGUAGAAUUCCAGGUGUAGCGGUGAAAUGCGUAGAGAUCUGGAGGAAUACCGGUGGCGAAGGCGGCCCCCUGGCACAAAAGACUGACGCUCAGGCACGAAAGCGUGGGGAGCAAACAGGAUUAGAUACCCUGGUAGACAU